ACGGUGGCUCCGCGCUGGCGGCGGGUUCCCCCACAAGGUCUUGGGGAAAGGAGCAUGCGCUGGAAGCUGUGUGCUGUUGGUUUUGAGGAUCUUCAGUAAGCUGAAAGCGGAGAGUCAGGGGCCUUGUGUCCUACCAUGGUAUUUGCUAACGUUUAGAGAGUGCUUCCCCUUGCCGAGCACUGGCAAGAAGGCCCUCACCAGAUGCCAGCACCUUGACAUUGGACUUUCCAGCCUCCAGAAAUGUGAGAAAUAAAUGUCUUUACUUUAUAAAUUACUUGUGUUCUAAUGGAAGAAACAGAUAAUACAGAAAAUAUAUACAUCACAUUUCUGUGGUAAUAAGCAUUAGGGAGAAAAAUUAAGCAAGGUGGUUGGUGGACGGUGCUGGAGAGGUGGAGGAAUAUGUCUAUUGUAUGUCAGGUGGUCAGGUAAAGCCUCUUUGAUAAGGUGACAAAGUAGACCCUGAAUGAAACAACAGAGCAAGCUAUUUAGAUAGCCAGGAGGGGAGCAUCCCAGGCAGAAGGCCUCAGCAUAUUCAGCAGGGCCUAGGAAUAGCCAGGUGGCCAGUGAGGCUGCAGAGGAGUGAGCAGGAUAGAGGUGGAAGAGAGAUGGGAUGGAUACAUCGUAGAAGUCAGUGUCUCACAAAUUAUCACCGUGCCUGACCAAAACAAACGAACAAACAGACAAUCACUCUGGCUGCUGCCUGGACAAUGUUAGGGAGCAGGAAUGGAAGCAGUUACUAGGUGAUUUCAUUGGUCCAAGUGAGAGAUGAUGAUAUCUCAAACUAGGAUAUUAGGGGUGGGUGUGGUGAGAACUGUCAAAUUCUGGGGUGUUUUGAAGGAUGGGCUGUCAUUGCUGGUGUUUUAGAUUUGGGUUUGAAAAGAAAGGAGAGGAAGUUUGAGGGUCAGACUUAGCAGAUUUGCUGGUUUAGAGUAACCAUGUCCUGCUGACAGAUGCAUGGCCAAGAACGAGGCUAAACUGUCACAAAGUAAGUACAAGUGGGCACAUAUGCUCUUUAUGGUUCUGGUUUAUUACAAAGAAAAAUGGUAUGUUCGUUUAUAUCAGAAAGAACCAGAUGACCUCCUUGGAAAAUAUUGACUAAAAUGGAUCUUGCUAGAAAAUGCCAGUUUGAGACAGGUAACAUUACAUGUAGAAAUUGAAGCCACUCAUUUCUUUCUAACUGGAAGUAGUGGUUAUAUUAAACUAAAGAGUAAACAAGCAUAUGAUUAAGUGUGAUGAUUCAUAUCAGAUAUAGUGACACAAAUGAGGAGGAGCUCAGUGGUGCUUGUUCCCACAAACCUGGAUAUCUUUUUUACCUUAAUGUCUUCCUAUCCUUGCCUAUUCUUUUUUUUUUUUUUUUUUUUGAGAUGGAGUCUCGCUCUGUCACCCCGGCUGGAGUGCAGUGGCGCAAUCUCGGCUCACUGCAAGCUCCGCCUCCCGGGUUCACACCAUUCUUCUGCCUCAGCCUCCUCAGUAGCUGGGAGUACAGGCGCCUGCCACCAUGUCCGGCUAAUUUUUUUUGUGUUUUUUAGUAGAGACCGGGUUUCACCGUGUUAGCCAGGAUGGUUUCGAUCUCCUAACCUCGUGAUCCACCCGCCUCGGCCUCCCAAAGUGCUGGGAUUACAGGCAUGAGCCACCGCGCCCGGCCUCCUUGCCUAUUCUUAAAGUAAAACAAGGUCCUGGGUAGAAAGUCAGAUAGCACAGCCACUCCCUUGCCCACCUUCUUCCUCUCCUGCAGAGAGAGGCAAGGACUGUUAGCCACUUCUGCUUUUCGUUUCUAUGGUGAUUACCUUCAUGGCUCUAAAAGACACGUUUGUAGUGCCAUUUCUUGCUUUUUCAAUUUUUGCUAUUAUCUGCGGACUUUGUUAUGGUACUUGAAGUUUAGCCUAUUAACAUUACCACCAUCCUGUCGCCCCCUUCCUUCUUCUGCCAUUAUAGCUACAACCCAAUGUAGUUUGUUCCUCUACAUUAAAUUUACCUUUUAAGUGUAAGGGAUAUAUUAGUAUUAAACAUCUUCUUGUUCUGUCAGUUAUGCACAGCAUCUCUUGAUCCCCCGCACUGUGAGACAAGGGUUUCAUUGGCACUCCUGGCCUUUACCUCUCCUCCCUUCCUUGUACUCCCCAAUCUAUUUUGUUAAAAGAAGAUCCCACUUGGCCAGUUGGAUUCCUGUGGGGAUGUAAUUGAAAGAAGGAUGCCCCUACACCUGCUUUUCAUUCAGUACACUACUGAAAUUCCAUCUCCCCCAAGAAAACCUUUUGGGACCUCAUUGAGAGAUAAGAGAUGUAUCUAUUAAUAUAAUCUUAUUAAUGAAAUAAUAGCCUAGGAGUCCAUGAACCUUUAACCCGAAGGACCUUUGUCCUGUCAGGUGUUAACAACUAGAGGGAAAUACAAUCAGCUUUGGCUGUGCUCUAAGCAAGCAGAGGCUUAUUUACUUUUCCCGUGCCCUUUCAAGCCAAGGGCUAUAAAACCGCUUUAGUAACAUAACCCCUGUGAGAGCUUGUUGGUGGACUUAGUGCCAUCACAGUAAAUUUUCAAGAGAAUGUAUAUGAAAUUUAUUCUUCUCCUUGAAUUUCAUGUUGAUAAGUAAGUUGAUUUAAAAGCAGCUCAUUCGUUUGGAAAGGAACUGUAUCCUUAUAACUGAGAUUACUGGAAGAAGGUCAUGAGCUGGGGAAUGCAGCACCCCUGCCACCUAGUGGUUCCUCCUGCUGAAACACUGCUUUUGCAAAGCACAGAAAACACAAAUUGAGUUAGUAUAGGAGUCAAAUACAGCGAAUGUCCUGAAUCUGGGAAACUUCCAUUCUCUCCUCCCUGUGUGAUAUCAGAGGAACGAAAAGAGCACUGACAAGGGAGAAUGUUGUAGGUAAACAUGGAUAGCCAUCAGGUCUCCUGCACAAAGGGGCAGCUGCAGGAAGCAGGAAGUGCAACAAAUGAGCAAAGAAAGGGACAGGAUCCCUCAGCAGUGGUCACUGCAGCAGCAACACGGUGCCAAAGGCAAAGCAGAAUCACCAGCAAGAUCAGCAGGGACAAUGAUGAUAAAGCCACAUAGGCUCAGCAUCAACAACAGCCCUAGAGACUGUGGCCUUGGGACUGUAGUACUGCUUGAUUCAUGGUAAACCAAUCAGGACACUCAGGGAACAACAACAGAAAUCAGCAUUUACAGAGCACAUACUCAGUUGAGGCAGAGUUUUACCUGUAUAUCACAUAAUAGUCUAUGGGGGUAGAUAUUCUUAUUAGCCGUGUUAUACAGGUGAUGAAAUUGAGGCUAACUAACUGGCCUAAAGUCACAGAGUUGAUGAGACUUAGAGCCAAGAUUCAAACGCACACCAAGGUGGCCUGACCCCAGCUGCAGAGCUCUUAACUACAGACAUGCAUUGCUAAAAGAAGGGGAUAUGAUCCGAGAAAUGUGCUGUUAGGUGAUUUUGUCAUUGUGUGAACCCAUAGCCAGCUACACACUGUUAACAAAAGACCAUGAGGCCAGGCAUGGUGGCUCACGCCAGUAAUCCCAGCACUUUGGGAGGCCGAGGUGGGUGGAUCACCUGAGGUCAGGAGUUUGAGACCAGCCUGGUCAACAUGGUGAAACCCUAUCUCUACUAAUAAUACAAAAAUUAGCCAGGCGUAGUGAUGCGUGCCUGUAAUCCCAGCAACUCAGGAGGCUGAGGCAGGAGAAUCACUUGAAGCUGGGAGGUGGAGGCAGCAGUGAGCUGAGAUCGUGCCACUGUGCUUCAGCCUGGGUGACAGAGUGAGACUCCAUCUCAAAAAAAAAAAAAAAAAAAAUGUCCAUAACAUCUGUGGAGGAAAAGGGGAGAGUUUUAUUUUCUGUAAAAAACAAUCUGCAGAUUGGGGAAAUGCAGCUUCAGGUGUAAAACAGAAGUGGGCUCUAAGCAGGGUGGAAAGUUAGAGAUUAUAAAGGCAAAAACUGCAGGACAGGGGAGGGUAAUCAGGGGAGUCAGAAACAGAGUGUCGAUUAGAUGGCCUUAAAGCCCCAAAUCACCAGUCUCUCUUAAUUGGCUGGUUCCAGGUUGUCUGUUGGCAGGAGGUGGUCUUGUGGUGGUCAACUGGGGAAUUCCCAGCUGCCGUUGUUUCCAGGAACUCUUCUUUGACUUGGUUGCAGAAAAACAGGUUUUGCAGCAUUCUCUAAGGACACGAAGAGCUUGACUGCUCCCUCACCCUUCCAUGGCCCCUUGGGUCUGUUUUUACUUUUGAGCCACAGAGAAUCCAUUUUGUCUGUUAACUGGGGGUAUAAUUUGACAACACCUAGGCUGUUUGAUACAGCCUGUUGCUCCUAGGCUACAAACCUGACAGUAUGUUACUGUAUUGGAUACUGUAGGCAAUUGUAACACAAUGGUAAGUAUAUGUGUAUCUAAACAUAAAAAAGGUACAGGAAAAAUAGAGUAUUAUAAUCUUAUGGGACCACUUUUGUAUAUGCGGUCCAUGCAUUCACUAAAACUUUGUUACGCAGCACAUGACUGUUCCAGGCUCUUCUUCUUCCCUCAGGGAGGAGGGAAUAUGGGGUUCAAUCCCUCUAACUCUACUGACCUUAUUGAGGGAUGCUUGUGAAUUGGGAUCCCUUAUUGAAGGAUGCUUGUGAAUUGGAACUCUAACGCGAUUAAGAUUGGUCCUAGAUCUUCCACCAACUUGCAAAAGGAUAUUUAGCCUUUCAGGAACAUUUUCUUUGACUGGAAAAUAGGGAUACAAUGGUGACUAUCUCAUAAAUUGCUGGGAAGUUUCACUGAGAUAAGGUAAAAUUUCUGGCACAUGGCAAAUGAAGUAGAUUGCCUACAAAGGUUUUUCAACAAUUCUUCUCAUGGUUAUAAGUACCACUAUUGCUUUCUAGAAAAGGUGGUAUCUCGGCUGGGUUUAUGAUUUACUUUGACCCCCUAGAAUGUGGCAGAUGUGUCACUGGCUAAUUCCAAGUCUAGGUUGCAAGAGCCUCCUUUUUUCCUCUCUUGGACUGCUCUUGCCUCUAUGUAAAGAAGCCCAGCCUGAACUCUUGCAUGUUGAAAGACCACAUGAAAAAAGAGGCAUGAGGGAGCCAGCAUCCUAGCAGAGCCCACCAUCUGACUACAGUCACAUGAGCAAGCCUAGGUGAGCCCAGAACUCACCUGCCAACCCCCGGGAUGACAAGAAAUAAUAAAUCACUGUGGUAAACUACUAAGUUUUGGGGUAGUUUGUUAUGUAGCAAAUAAUAAGUUCUCAGUUAAUGGUAUCUAUUAAUAUUAUGGUUGGUGCUGGUGAGAAAUUCAGCCAGCUAGCUGGCUCAUCAUUAGGCCACUGAUUUUUUUUCCCUUUCACCAGAGUAGCUGGAAGAAAGAAGAGUUACAUGUGCAAGUGAACACUGCUUAUUACAGAUGUGUCUGAUCUCUUUAUUAAAACAGAAAGACUAUUCAGAAAGUCUAUUCAGAAAGACUUUGUUAGCACCUCAAAUUACCAUCUACAUUUGAAAUAAUGUGGAAGCAUAUUUCUUCAAACAUAGUUACAACUCAGACUUUUCACUAAACCCAUUGUACUGGGACCCUCCUAGCCAUCAUGUUGAAGAGUCUGAGGCAUGGACAGGGACUUAUCCAUUUCAUCCAGCAUCUCAAAGCCCUGAAGAUGAUGCUUUACUCUAACCUUCUUCUCCUUUGCAUUCCCCUCCCUAAAUUAUCUUUUUCUGUCCAUACAUAUCCUUUCCCUCUCUCCUUGCCUUUCCUAUCUCUUUUCUUUGUUGUGAUGAUUAAAUAAGACCUUCCCUACUGAAAUGUAAGCUCCAAGAAGGAGAUUUUCAUCUGUUUUGUUCUCUACAAAAAUAUUCUUUGCUUAGAAAAGUGCCUGGCACACACAAGGUGUGCAGUGAAUAUGUGUUGACUGAAUUAAAUUGUGCACGUAAAGCACUUAGGACAGUGUCUGACAUAGAGUAGAUGGCACUCAAUAAAUAUAACCUAUGGCAACUCAGGACUAUAAUAAAUGAAAUUAUUCACAUUUGUCUUUUUUUUUUUACAGAUCACUCCUUUAUUGUACAGAUCAGGAAAAAGGAUUUAGUACUGCUAUGCUCAAAUGAACACUGGGCCCAUGUGUCAGGGCCAAGCAACUAGAACAUGAUUCAGAAAUCAGUCAGAGAGAGACACACUUGGACAAGACCAAGAGGCAUUUCAUUGUCACGAAACAAGGUGGGGGAGGGAUUCCAAAACACACAGCAGGAAGUACUUCUAACCCUCAGAGGUCAAGGAGCUUAUUCCAUGUUGGUAUGAGGAAUGGCUUAUUUUCUGAUGACCACAUGUGGGACUAUUUCAACUGCCACGAGAAAUCCCAGAAGGAUUAUUGUUUUGUAUUAUUUAUAUAUACUAUACCUUUUUAAAAAAAUAAAAUAAAUGUAACACAUAAACUAAAUUCAGGAUUGAUCCCAACCUUCUGGAGCCAGCUUCUCUGGGGUCAGGGAAGAAACAGUUGUCAUAUCACCAUAGAGGUUAUAUUCAUCUUCCACUGGAAUGAAUAGAGCCCCCAGGCAGUGGCUUAACAGGCUGUCUUGCUUCAUUGGUCAUGGCUUGGCAUGGUUCCUCCCCACAAAUCCUUAGUAAACAAAGCACUUGUGAAAACCCAGGUCACUACCUUUAAACUCUGUUGGACAAGAGGAGCUUUCCACAGCUUGGGCUGAGAAGCCUUGCCCUAGAAGUGCUGUUCUGACUAGAUUGUAUGAAGGGAGUGGGUGCAGGAGACAAAAUGGCUAAAAUGAAAAUGGGAGCCACUGGUGCCCAUCUGCAGCUACAGCUCAAGAUGCCUACAGAUGUGGUCAGUGUGACAUGUGCAGGAGGGAGGGGCAGGGGGACGCGAUGGGCAGGGAGGGUGCUCCUGGGGACAGUAGCCUGCCCGCUGGCCUUUACUUCUUGGCCUUACCCUGGGCAGCCACAGCUUCCAUGGCUUUACGCAUGGUCUCUUCAUCCCCCAGGAACUGUAUGGGUUUCAAGUUCUUGUCCAAUUCAUAGACAACGGGAAUACCAGUGGGCAGGUUCAGCUCCAUGAUAGCCUCUUCAGAGAGGCCCUCCAGAUGCUUGACAAUGCCCGGGGGGCUGUUGCCAUGGGCUGCAAUUAGUACCUGCUUCCCCUCCUUGAUCUGGGGAACUAUUUCUUCAUUCCAAAAGGGCAGAGCCUUGGCAAUAGUGUCCUUCAGACUCUCACAGGAGGGUAGCUGAUCUUCAGUGAGGUUUGCAAACCUGCGAUCCUUACUGAUGUUGUAGAAAGGAUGGUCGGGCUCCAUUAGAGGUGGUGGGACAUCAUAGGAGUGCCUCCAGAUCUUCACCUGGGCCUCACCAUGCUUUGCAGCAGUUUCUGCUUUAUUGAGACCGAUCAGACCCCCAGAGUGCUGCUCAUUGAGGCACCAAUCCUCACUACUGGCAGCCACGUCUGAUCAAUGGCAUCUAGCACUGUCCAGAGGGUCUGGAUCACUCUCUUCUGCACUGAGGUGAAGCAGAUGUCAAACUCAGCCGGCUUCUCACAGCACCUGCCUGCCACACUUCGCCUCCUUAUGGCCCGCUGGGCUCAGGUCGGUGUUGUACCAGCUGCUGAAGCGGUUCUCCGGAUUCCACAUGCUCUCGCCAUGCUGGAUCAACACCAAUUUGUAGGCAGCCAUGGUGGCGGGCUGGGGAUGCGACGCUGACUGGGGUUCGCGGAUUCUGGAGGCACAUUUGUCUUUUUAAAUGUUUGAUUACUUUUAGUCUUUCUCCCUUUUCUUUCCACUCUUCUUUUCACUCUUUGUCUCUUUCUUGUUUUCUCUCUUCCUUAGUCAUUGCAUAUUCUCUGCUACCCUUACUGUGGUCUGCCAGGGACUCUCAUAGAUGUCAUUUCACCUACCACAGAGAAUGUGCAGAGAAAAGGUUUUGGAGCUUUGUCUUGGAUGAAAUGUAACUAUUUGUGAUUCAUAGCUGACUUAGUACUGCACAUAAAAUUCUACUGUUGCGGUGAACCCAAUUUUGGUGCUACUGAAUAAUGAGGAGCCUAGAUGAUUGAAAAUGGCAAGCUCAUUAGGUUGUAGCCUAACAAAUGCCUGGCAGUACAUGUCUGUGAGUGUGUGGGUGUUUCUAGUGCCUGUUGGUGAGUAACCAUGCUACUCUUGGCAGUAGAAAUGUGAGCAAAAUCAAGUUGUACUGAUUUAGCCAAUUUUCUCUUCUCUUCCUCCAUACGGGAAUGGAAAUGUAUUACUCAGUAGAUCAGUUCUUUCUCAGGCUGGUAACAUUACAGAAUCCCUGUCGAAGUGCAAGUUGGGCUGGUGGAAAUCAGAUUUCCACAUCCUUUUGUAAGCUUUGUUUGUCAAGGUAAAUCCCAUACAUUUUAAAAGCAUGACUUCCUAGGGCUAGAUGGGAAAAUAAGAAGCUUUGAACCUGUCACCAGAAUCAAUUGUACAGAUGUCUCCAUUUCCUUGGAUAGUAACUUAUAUAGGAAGAUCUGUCUCCUCUUUUCUGCUAGUCUUUCAUAUUCUAAUAAAGAGUAUGAAUCUGCAGGUCAGUGGCUGAGUAGCUUGGGCCGAGCACAGAGCAGUGUUAAUGUAGUUCUCAACACAGCCUUGUUUAUGCUUAGAUUAGGCUCAUCGGUAGCUCAGACCUCGUAGCCCUGCUGAUAUUUAACAGAGUCCUGCAUAUAUUCUUCUGUAAUGUAAGAUCAGUGUUUGAAAAACUGAAAGUUGCCCUGUCUCUACAAAUUAAAAAAAAUUAUCAUUUAAAAAAUUAUACAUAGAUGUAUGCCUACUCACCAGCCAGGCAUGGUGGUGCAUGCCUGUGGUCCCAGCAACUUUGGAGGCUGAAUCUCUCGCCUAAAUCCGAAAGAUUGAGGUUGCAGUGAGCCAUGAUCACGCCACUGCACUCCUGCCUGGGCAGCAGAGCAAUACCCUGUCUCAAAAACAAAGAAACAAAAAAAGCAACAGAGUUGGGAGGGGAGUGAGUCUUUGAGCCUCCCUGUCAUCUUUCCUCAAAAUUGCUUUUAGUUGGCUGGGCACGGUGGCUCAUGCCUAUAAUCCCAGCACUUUGGGAGGGCGAGGUGGGCGGAUCACCUGAGGUAAGGAGUUCGAGACUAGCCUGGGCGGAUCACCUGAGGUAAGGAGUUCGAGACUAGCCUGGCCAACAUGGUAAAACCCCAUCUCUACUAAAAAUACAAAAACUAGCCAGGUGUGGUGGCAGGCGCCUGUAAUCCCAGCUACUUGGGAGGCUGAGGCAGGAGAAUUGCUUGAACCCAGGAGGCAGAGGUUGCAGUGAGCCAGGAUCGCGCCAUUGCACUUCAGCCUCAGGGGAGAAGAGUGAGACUUUGUCUCAAAAAAAAAAAAAAAAAAGAAAAAAUUGCUUUUAGUUGCUCUAUUCUUGUUCCUCCCUUGAAACAUCUGAUCAUCUUAUAGUCAGUAACUUACCAGCUCUCCUUAGGAGUUAGCCAAUGUAGUAAAUCUAGGAAACAAACCUAGACUCAGGGUGGGGAGAUUUGGAGGCAUCUAGACCAUCAGUUCUUGAACAUGCUCACUUAAUUGGGUCAAAAGACCCCAAGAUAUACCUACCCUAAAUUCAUUUCACUUCUGGUGGGGAGUAAUUUGGUGAAAUUAAAAAUGAAAGAGGAACAAAAUAACAACCAAAAAUGGCAACAUCAUAGCAUGUUUAAUGAACAAAAUGAUUAAAAAUAGAAAAACAAGUCUGGCAUGCUGGCAAGUGCCUAUAGUCCUAGCUACUUGGGAGGCUGAGAUGGCGGAACACUUGAGCCCAGGAGUUCAAGGUGCAGUGAGCUAUGAUUUCACCACUGCACUCCAGCCUGGGUGACAGAGCAAGACCCAAUCUCUAAAAAAUAUAAAAAAUAAAAAAAUUUAAAGAUAGAAAAACAACAUUACACUUUAACAUACUAAAAAAAAAAAUCCUUGAAAAUUGUGGAAACUCCAGCAACCUGUGUUUUCACAUGUGCAGUAAGAAAUUUGCAUCAUUGCCAAACUUUCUGUGAAGAGCAAAGUUUUCAAUACUUGGCACUACUGCACGUUUUUUGUGAAUAUAAAAUUUUAAUUACAGUUAAUAAUGAACAAAGGAAGCUAUUAAGGACUUAAGUCAUAUGUAAAAAUGAAAGUCCUUGGGCUGGCAUUUGCUGUAAGAAUUAAAGAACUUGGAUUUAAAAAUCUCUUCUUGGUUCAUCCAGAAGACUAAUGGGCCAUACUGUGCUUGGAGGCACUAUGGCCUAGAUUACUAUGACAGUCUUGUUUCUGGGCCUUCUCUGCUCUUCUGUUCUCUCUCUCUUUCUUUUUUCUUUUCUUUUUUUUUUUUUUUUUUUGAGUUGGAGUCUUGCUCUGUCACCCAGGCUGGAGUGCAGUGGUGCAAUGUUGGCUUACUGCAACCUCCAUCUCCCGUGUUCAAGUGAUUCUCCUGCCUCAGCCUCCCAGGUAGCUGGGAUUACAGGUGCCUGCCACCAUGCCCGGCUAAUUUUUUUGCAUUUUUAGUAGAGACGGGGUUUCACCAUGUUGGCUAUGGCUGGUUUUAAACUCCUGGCCUCAAGUGAUCCACCUUCCUCGGCCUCCCAAAGUGCUAGGAUUACAAGCGUUAGCCACCGCACCUGGCCUCUUUUUUCUUUUUUUUUUGAGAUGGGGUCUUGCUCUGUUACCCAGGCUGGAGUGCAGUGGUGUGUUUAUGGCUCACUGUAGCCUUCACUUCCUGGUGGGCUCAAGCAAUACCCUCACCUCAGCCUCCAGAGUAGCUGGGACUACCACCCCUGGCUGUUUAUUUUUAUUUUUGCAGGGACAGGUGUCUCCCUGUUUUGUCCAGGCUGGUCUCAAACUCCUGGCCUCAGGCAAUUUUCCUGCCUGGGCCUCCCGAAUUGCUGAGAUUACAUGUGUGAGCCAUCAUGCCUGGCCUGCUUUUCUGUUCUUGAACCUGCAACAGUUCUCCCAGUCUUUGAGUCACAAUCUGGCUUGUACAUUAAAAUGAUCAUUCUACUGGUAGAAGUAUUGGAUAAGACCUUUCUGGGAGAGUAUUUGGCAACAGGUUUAGAGUCUUAAAUAUGUAGCCUCCUUGGCUUUUUUUUUUUGAGACGGAGUCUCGCUCUGUCACCAGGCUGGAGUGCAGUGGUGCAAUCUCAGCUCACUGCAACCUCUGUCUCCCAGGUUCAAGUGAUUCUCCUGCCUCAGCCUCCUGAGUAGCUGGGACUACAGGCGCACGCCACCACACCCAGCUAAUUUUUGUAUUUUUAGUAGAGACAGGGUUUUUCACCAUGUUGGCCAGGAUGGUCUUGAUUUCCUGACCUCGUGAUCCACCCGCCUAGGCCUCCCAAAGUGCUGGGAUUACAGGCAUGAGCCACCACGCUUGGCCAAUAUUUUUUUAAUAUUAGGAAAUAUAGAAAGGUAGUAGGGGGUUGGUUAAACAAAUGAUGCUAUUUCCAUUGGAUAAAAUCUCCUGUUUUCUUUCUUUCUUUUUUUUUGUUUUUUGUUUUUGAGACGGAGUCUGACUUUGUCACCUAGGCUGGAGUGCAGUGGUGUGAUCUCGGCUCACUGCAACCUCCGCCUCCCGGCUCCAAGCAAUUCUCCUGCCUCAGUCUUCUGAGUAACUGGGGAUUAUAGGUGCCUGCCGUCACACCUGGCUAAUUUUUGUAUUGUUUUUAUUUUUGGUUUUUUUUGAGACGGAGUCUCUGUUGCCCAGGCUAGAGUCCGGUGGCACGAUCUCAGCUCAUUGCAACCUCUGCCUCCCAGGUUCAAGCGAUUCUCCUGCCUCAGCCUCCUGAAUAGCUGGAAUUACAGGCACCCACCACAAUGCCCAGCUAAUUUUUGUAUUUUUAGUAGAGACGGAUUUUCACCAUGUUGGCCAGGCUGAUCUCCAACUUCUGACCUCAGGUGAUCCGCCCGCCUCGGCCUCCCAAAGUUCUGGGAUUACAGGCGUGAGCCACCGUGCCCAGCCAAUUUUUGUAUUUUUAGUAGAGAUCGGCUUUCACCACGUUGGCCAGGCUGGUCUCCAACUCCUGACCUCAGGUGAUCUGCCCGUCUUGGCCUCCCAAAGUGCUGGGAUUACAGGUGUGAGACACCGUGCCCACGCUAUUUUCAUUAUAAAAAUGAUAAUGAGUGUUACUGAUACAGAAAAAUUGUUCCCAAGACUAAUUUUUAAUUAUAAUUUUUAAAAGUAGGGCAGGCUGUGUGUGGUGGCUCAUGCCUGUAAUCCUAGAACUUUAGGCAGAUUAGAAGUUCGAGGCCAGCCUGGGCAACAUGGCAAAACCCUGUCCCUACAAAAAAUACAAAAAUUAGCUGGGCAUGAUACUGUGCGCUGUAGUCCUGCUCCUCGGGAUGCUGAGGUCGGAGGAUAGCUUGAGACUGGGAGGUCAAGGCUGCAGUGAGCCAUUAUUGUGUGUCUGCACUCUAGCCUGGGUGACAGAGAAAGACCCUGUCUCAAAAAAUUUAAAAGUAGAGCAUAUAAGAGUAUGCAUAAUAUAAUCUUUUUAAUAUAAAGAUGUAUGCCUAUUCAUAGAAAAUGGCUAGAAGUAUAUAUAAUACAAUGCUACUAGUAAUUGUGUUUUUGUACUAUUAAGGAUUUUUCUGAAAUGUCUACAAUAAACAUAUAUGACUUCUAUAAAAAAGAAAAAAGUAUUUACAAAUACUUGAAACAAAAGAUUACUUUGGCAGCAUUUAUGAGAAUGUGAAUGAGAGAGACUGGAUGAGAGAUUGUUGUAGUAGUUCGGGAAAAAGGCAAUGUAAGUAAGAACCAAGGUCAUGGUGUGGAUGGAGAAGGAAAAGCUGAUUUAAGACAUAUUCAACAGCCCUACGAGGACUAUAAACACAUACCACACCUUCAAGUCAAUAAUAAAAUUGGUCUUUCAAAGAGCCAGCAUGAUUCUUCCAUAUCCUUAAAGUAUCUUCAAAUACGCAUUUGAAGAAACUUGGGGUUUUGGCUUUCCAGCUUGUUUAGCUACGUUAAUGGACAUACAGUUGAGCAAAAAGGAGAAUAUGAGAGGAGGAUCAGACUGUGGAAGAAGACAAUAAAUUUAAUUUUGCAUGUGUGCAGUUUGAAGGGCUUGUGGGAGAUGUACUAAGAGCUGAGCAGGGGAUGCCAGGGGACAAGGAGUCCAGUGAGAAGAUCGAAGAGGCAUGGUGGGCCCGGACAGCCCAGAAUGGGCUAGUCUGGGUUGAAAGCCUGGCAAGAAUGACCAGUUGGACAAGUUCGAGGUUGCUUUCAUUUCAGCUUUCUGUGAAACCUGCAAGUAAUCAGAACAGGCACAGGAAAUGAGAAUAAUAAAAGCGAAUGAGUACACUCUGGAGGUUCUUCUGCCUCCUCAUGGAGUUGUAACCAAAGUUCAAGGGUGAGUGAAGCCAUUCUCAAAUCUGAUCUUCAAUUCACUGUUUUUCAGGUAGGGAAAGCCCUCAAGAGUCUAAGUAAAGGCACUGAAGGCCACUUUAUUCCUUGCUGUGCCAUAGGCACAUGUUGAUGUGUUUUCUUUUCUUACUACCUCUUCACUGGCAUCAGGCCCACCCAUGGUAUAACAAGAUGGUCAGAGAGACCAGAGGAAGAAGUCAAAGGAAGAGAGAAUAUCAGGGAAGAAAUUGUCAACAAUGGCAGCUGCCAGAGAAGUCAAGAAAUAUAAGUACUGAAAAGUUCCGGUGACACUUGGCAAGGUGCAGGCUAUUUGCAGCCAUGUAUGUAGAGUACCACCAAGCUCAGAUUCCCGUGAAAGUCAUUUUGAUUCUCAUGAAAUACAAUCAAAAUGAUUUUUUGCUUUCCUUUUUUUUUUUUUGAGAUGGAGUCUUGAUUUGUCUCCCAGGCUGGAGUACAGUGGCGCAAUCUCAGCUCACUGCAACCUCUGCCUCCCGGGUUCAAGCGAUUCUUCUGCCUCAGCCUCCCGAUUAGCUGGGACUAUAGGCAUGCGCCACCACGCCCAGGUAAUUUUUGUAUUUUUAGUAGAGAUGGGGUUUUGCCAUGUUGGCCAGACUCGUCUCCAACUCCUGGCCUCAGGUGAUUCGCCUGCCUCGGCUUCCCGAAGUGCUGGGAUUACAGGUGUGAGCCAUCACCCCCGGCCUGAUUUUUAGCUUUCCUAUUUGACUUUUAAUUGAAACUUCGGCAAAAGUUACUGUUGUUAGCAAAGUGUUAGUAAAGCCUGUAUCUAGAUUCUCAAGCAGUUUGGGAUAAGAUGAUUCUAUGAGUCAGUGAUCUGUAGGGUGUUAGGAGAACGCCGGUAGCACAAAUGUCUCUUGGCCUUACCGACUGGUGAAGACAAAUGUGACAUUUACAGCCAUACUUCAAUCCAUGUCUACCAGAAAGCCUAGUCAGUCUAGAAAUCAGUGGCCCAGGCCCGGUGCGGUGGCUCACACCUGUAAUCUCAACACUUUGGGAGGCCGAGGUGGGUGGAUUGCUUGAGGUCAGGAGUUCAAGACCAGCCUGGCCAACAUGGUGAAGCCCCAUCUCUAUAACGCAAACAAACAAACAAACAAAUGUAGCAAUCAGUGGCCCAAGUAGUUGACCAAGUUGUCUGCCAGCCUCCUUUGGGUGCUGACCUGCACCCUGCUCAGGUAGGGACCACAGCACAGCCUGUGUUGCUGCUGACCUCUUCUCCCAACACUUUCCCCCCAGAAUACUGAUCUCCAGUAUUCUUCCACAGCUGUAAGCAGCUGGGAAAUAUUUUCCUUCUCCUGGGUAUUUAUUUCAGGGGAGGCUCCUAUAGCUGAGCUCUUGAGCCCUAGGGACACAUUCUUUUCUUCGUGCUUUAAGCAUCUCUUUCCCAGAGCAAAGGAGCACUUGAGUGUGGAGGGUAGGGAAGAAAAUCCUACUGGACUGGGGGAUAAUCAGGCAACUGUUCUAGGAACCUUCAGUGUCCACAUCGUGCUGCUCUCUCUAGCCCACUGCUAUGGACUGAAUUGUGUUCCUCUCCCCUCCUCAAAUUAAUAUGCCGAAGCCCUAACCUGCUAUGUGACUCUAUCUGGAGCGAGGGUGUUUAGGAAGUAAUUAGGGUUAUAUGAGGUAUUAAGAGUGGUGUCCUAAUCACAUAGGACUCUGGCUUUAUAAGAAGAGGAAGAUUCCCAUUCUCUCUUUCUGUCUCAAUCUGUUAUGUGAGGACACUUUCUGCGAGACAGGAAGAAGGCCCUCACCAAAACCCAGCCAUACUGGCUCCUUGAUCUUGGACUUCCAGCCUCUAGAAUUGUGAGAAAAUAAAUUUCUGUUGCUUAAAUUACUUAGUCUAUGGCAUUUCGUUAUAGCAGCCCAGGAUGCCAGACUCCUUCAUUCACGGUGAUUUUCUUUUAGUGGCCCCAUUGUCUCUUCUAAUAGUCUAGCCUUUUCUUAGAGCAACUCCCAGUCCGUCAUACAGGGUUGUAUAUCUCAAUUGUGGGCAGAGUCCAACAUCUCUUCCACAGGGCUCUUGUACACAUCAAGAAAUGGGGCUGGGUACUCAUUUUAUUGUUUCUAGAUCUUCCCAGCAAGUAAAAAAACUACUGGAUGUUGGUUUUCCCAGAGCAUAUGAUGGACUUCUGGGAUGACUCAGGUCUAUCAGGGUCAUCUCUGACUCAUGGAAUCCUGUUACCCUUCUAUGGCUGGACAAGAGAAACACAUUAAAGGAGGGCAUGUGAGUCUCUAGCACAAUUAUAAUUACUGGGGUUUAUAAAGCCAGGUGAAUGUCAGAGUUAAUAAUGCUUAGACUCUUCUGGAAGGGGUGAGGCAGCUCCAUUCUAGUAGUCUAUUGGAGAAGCUUCAUUUGGGGCCUUAAACCAAAGUAAUACAAAUCUUUUUACAUCUGUCACUGUUUAUUAUUUAGUUUUCCAUCUGGCCUGCUCUGAAGCAGGAGGGGGAAGAGAGCACAGAGGGAAAUCAUGAGCUCUUUGGAGGAAUAGUGCCAGAUAUUAAAUCUAUAAACAAAAUAGAUUGAACUGGAAAGAAUGAGUCAGAGACAAAGGAAGCAGUAGAAGCAGUGAAUAUCACCUUGGGAAAUAUCACCUGAAAGUGCUGGCAGAAUCUUUCUGGUGUAUUUGUGAUCGUCCCUGUGGUAGAUACCUUUAAAUCCAAUCAGCACAAUUUGGUGCCUGAACUGCUUGUGCUUCACUCCUCUCUGUUGGGGUCCCUUUUCAUUGUUUCCUCCUGUCUAGCCCUAUAUUCAUUUCUAUAAUGCAAGCUGAUGACCCAUGGUGAGAUUUUUCUUUCCUCUGGUGAUAAUGAUCCUGUCACUCCAGGUUCCUGUUUCAGCAGAGCAUGAAGAGAGUUAUGCUGAUUGAUUGAGACCAAGCUGGAGUGAAAUAAGGAUUUUACCUGAGGGUCCAUUAGCCUUCCUGCAUCAUGCCCCAGAGAGUACUGAAAACUGGGAGUUAUCCAAGUGCCUUGCCUUCUUGGGGUUAGCUUGUAUAGAGGUUGCAAACUGGCAGCCCCUAGGUUAGGUGUAUUUUAUUUGGCCCACCCAGGGUUUGAAAUUAGUUGUCAACAUUUAAAUAUAGGGAUAUUUCCUGCUUCUCUUUAAAGACUGGGAGAACACUUAAUCUGCAUCCCCUUCUGGAAACAAUCAGCCGAUGCUGACUGGGUCUCUACCCUUUAAUGAAGUCGUGAGCUCUCCAUAUCACAUUGCCACAGUCACAUAUCACAUUGCCACUGCUGCACAUGUUUAUGUUGGCCACCAUAGGCACUUGAGUUUGUGUCCUCUGAUCUAUAGGAAAGAAAGGAACUAGUGUUUAUUGAGUCCCUUUUAUGCAUGAACCACUGUACCUUGUAAUUUGCAUACAUCAUUUGAUUUUUUUAAAAACCCAGUAAGAUUUAAGCUCCCUGCCUUUAGGGACCAUGCCUGCUUCUUUUGCCACUGUGAGAGUGCUCAAGACUUGGUAUAGUCGUAAGUGGGAGCUGAACAGUAUUUGCUGAAUGAAGGUAUGUAUGAAUGCAUAAACAAAUGAAUAAGGUAUUUUUUAUCACAUUUUUGUAGGUGAGAAAACCAAGGCCCAGGGCAGUUAAGUAACCGGUUCAGAAUCAUAAUCAUAUGGCCCAUAGGGCUGACAGGAUUCAAAUAUGGGACUGUGCAACUCCAGAGGUCCAGUGUGGAGAAGGGAAAAGACCAUGGGUCAUUUCAGGGCUAAGUACACGAAGACUCUUUGUAAGUCCCUGCAGAAUUGAUUGACAGUGCACAAACAUAUUUUCGUAAGUACUAGCUUCCAGAAGAAUGCACGUUUUUUAGCUUAUGAAAUUUGUCUAAAACCUACUGUGUAUGGAUACCUUCAGCUUUGGGAUUGUAUAAUAUUGAGGCUCUGCAGUAGAGGGUACGUGCCAUUGGUUUGGCAUGUAAUGAGAGCAGAAUAUUUCUGUCUACAGUUGACUUGUGUUCUGUAAAUGUGGUAACAUUCCAAAGUUAAUUUUCCUUGUAUAUCUAAGGAACUCCUUCCAGGGCUUAUUUUCGUUAACUUCUUGCUGAUGGUGCAUGGUUAACACUAUUCAGUGCAGAGCUGCAUUCAGGAAUGACUAUAAUUAAAAGUGCUUCUUUGUGAGGCUUAUCAAGAAGACCUGAGGCUGAUUGAGGAAGCAUGCCUCUGAAAAUGAAGCCACUUGCAAAGAGAAGGGAUUGGUCUGGCUGAGGGAAAUGGGAAGGAGAGUAAGAGUUUAAUCCUAUGACUUAGUUUCCAUCCCAAUGCUGGUGAUUUCCAAAUUCAUCUAUAAUUUUGACAUCCUUCACACAAGCCUCAUAAUUCCAAAAUUGGCUAGAUAUUUCUUACAGACCUCUUUCUACCAUGAUUCUAAACCGAACAUAUCAAUAACUGAACACAUCACAUUUUGCCCCUGAACCAGCCUUUCCUUUGGUGGCUAUUUAGUCUUUCACCUACCAAGCUCCAAACUGUGGAGGUUUCUACUACUCUUUUUUUAUUUAGAAUCUAUAUAUGCAAGCACUUUUCCAUAAAAUGGCUCAUUAUCUUCCUUUUCUGCCCCAUUCCCCCCCAAGUGCAAGCCUCUAUCACUUCAGACCUGGAUUGCUAAAGUAGCUUCCUAGCAGGGCUCUAGCUUCUAGGCUGUUUCUGCUUUAAUAUCACUGCACACGACUUCAAAUUUAUCUUACUAAAAUCCUGUUUUCAUGUCCCUUUCCACAUUCCAAAUCCAUAUUAUCUUCUACUGGCUUAGAGUAGCUUUUCCCAAAGUAUGUUAUGUGAAACUUUAGUUCCAUGGGAGAUUAAUAGGUGUUAAGUAAAAACUGGCAUUGUAAUCAAAUGCCAGAAUUGACAAAAUUAUAAACCAUUUCUUUCCUGCAGGAUGAUUCAUAACUUUGAUGUGUUAAUAUGCCUUAGUAUGUAUUGUUUUCCAAGACAUGUAUUUUCACAGAGCCUCUUUUGGUGGAGUAUUUAAUUGGCCUAGGUCUUCAUAAACUACAUUUUGUGUCUUAGUCUAUUUUGGGUUGCUGUAACAGAAUACCACAAACUGGGUAACUUGUAAAUAAUUGAAAUUUAUUUGACUCAACAGUUCUUGAGGCUGGAAAGUCCAAGAGCAUGGCACUGGCAUCUGGUGAGGGCCUUCCUGUUGCAUUAUCCCAUGGCAGAAGGGGGAAUGGUAAGCAAGCCUGCAAGACACAGAGAGAAAAUUGGGCCAAACUUAUCCUUUUUUAUCAGGAACCCAAUCCAGUAGUAACAGCAUUAAUCUAUUCAUGAGGGAUUCUCUAAUCACCUGUUUAUCAUCCUACCUCUUAAUCUCAUCAAAAUGGCAAUUAAAUUUCAACAUGACUUUUGGAGGGGACAUUUGAAUCAUAGCAUUUGGGAAAUGCUAGUCCACAGAUAAUAAGUCCAUAUUUCCUGUGAUGAUAAAUUUUGUGUGUCAAAUUGACUAGGCCAUGGUUACCCAGAUAUUUGGUCAAACAUUAUUCUGGGUGUUUUUGUGAAGGUAUUUUUCAGAUGAUAUUAGCAUUUAAAUUGGUAGACUGAGUAAAGCAUGUUGCUCUUUUCAUGUGGGUGGGCCUCAUAAAACCAGUUGAAGGCCUGAGUAGAACACAAAGGCUAAGAGUAACUUUGCCUGCCUGACUGACUUUGAACUGGGACAUCAGCUUUUUCCUGCCUUUUUGCAAGGGCUCACCUGGGUCUCCAGCUUGCCAGUUUACCUUGCAGAUCUUAGAAAUUGUCAGCCAGCCAGACUCAUGCCUGUAAUCCUAGCACCUUGGGAGUGAAAGGUGGGAGGAUUGCUUGAGGCCAGGAGUUCGAGACCAGCCUAGGCAACAUAGUGAGACUCCAUCUAUAUUAAAAAAUAAAAGAGAGAGAGAGAAAUUGGCAGCCUCUAUAAUUACAUGAGCCCAUUCAUGUAUAGAUAUAUCUCCAUUUUAUUGGUUCUGUUUCUCUGGAGAACUCUAACAUACUCUCUGUUGUCUUCUUCAAGGCUGUUUAAAGUAAGACUCUUAUUCCACCUAUCUGAGUUUAUUUACUUCCAUUUCUCAACACAUAUCUUCUGCCCCAGCUAAGAUGGUCUCCUCACUCUCUAAAUACCCCUUGCAGAAUUCACCUCCAGGCUUUGCUCAAGUUGUUUCUUUUGUUCAGAAUGUGGCCCUCCC
rnacentral:lncRNA from 1 species